UACGUAGGUGGCGAGCGUUGUCCGGAUUUACUGGGCGUAAAGAGCGCGCAGGCGGUCGUUCAAGUCGCGUGUGAAAGCCCCCGGCUCAACUGGGGAGGGUCACGCGAUACUGAUCGACUCGAAGGCAGGAGAGGGAAGUGGAAUUCCCGGUGUAGUGGUGAAAUGCGUAGAUAUCUGGAGGAACACCGGUGGCGAAGGCGGCAUCCUGGACCAAUACUGACACUGAGGAGCGAAAGCCAGGGGAGCAAACGGG
rnacentral:rRNA from 1 species